rnacentral:lncRNA from 1 species
AAAAAAAAGAGAAAAAGAAGAAGAAGAAGAGACUAGAAGGGAGAAAUAAGGACUAGUUGUUGAAUUAUUUUUGAAAACUCGAUCCAUUGCCUCAAAAGCAAAAGUGGAGACUUUGGAACUUUUGAGAAUCGAGUUUAUUAAAGUCCGUAGAGGUGAAUUCAUUGUUUCAAACGCCUAUCUUUCAAAUUUUGGCGUAAUCACCUAAAUUCAAGAAGAAUAGCCACACAUACCCAUAUUUCCUACCUCGAACCAAAGAGCCUAACAAUUGAAAGCCACAAAGCCCCAAUGAUCCCAAUAGCUUAAUAUUCGAUAUUAGUAGAGUAGAAUAAUUUGGUGAGUAUUUGGAGUCAAGCAUAUGCAUGUAAGUAUAAUUUUUUUUCUAUCUUUAAUUUGCAAAUAUUGGAUGCUUGAAGCAAUUGUAUGAAUUGUGGUUUUUGGUAAUGGUGAGUGACUAUGUGUUGUUGAAUUUUGAGCUUGAGAAUGCCUAAGAAUUGUCAUUAUAAUUACAAGUUCUGAGAACGUGAAGUUGAUCAUUGAUCUAUGUGAUGAGAUGUAAUAGUUGAGUUAUUUGCUUAUUGGUAGAUUUUGCUUGAGGACAAGCAAAAGUUCAAGUUUGGGGGUGUGUUAAGUGUAUAUUUUUACACUUUAUCGUACCUUUUUAUUUGGGCUUUUGAUGUGUUUUAACGAU